UACGGAGGGGGCUAGCGUUGUUCGGAUUUAUUGGGCGUAAAGAGCGUGUAGGCGGCCAGGUAGGUCUGCUGUGAAAACUCGAGGCUUAACCUCGAGCUGUCGGCGGAAACCAUCUGGCUAGAGUCCGGAAGAGGAGAAUGGAAUUCCCGGUGUAGCGGUGAAAUGCGCAGAUAUCGGGAAGAACACCCGUGGCGAAGGCGGUACUCUGGGACGGUACUGACGCUGAGACGCGAAAGCGUGGGGAGCGAACAGG
rnacentral:rRNA from 1 species